CUUGACUGUCUGCAUCAGAGCCCUCAAAACACAGUCCUGGGUGGUCUUCACUACCUAGCUGUUGGGACUCAGAAACCCAUCCUCCAAAAUAUGGCCCUUUGAUGUGCUGAACUGAAGAAGCCUCAAGCCUCUGUAACCUCCAAAGCACAAAAGGAAGUUGUUCUCUAAAGCUGUUUAUCUGCCUAAAGUCUGGACCCAUCAAAGAA